rnacentral:rRNA from 1 species
GACGAACGCUGGCGGCGUGCUUAACACAUGCAAGUCGAACGGAAAGGCCCUGCUUGCCGGGUACUCGAGUGGCGAACGGGUGAGUAACACGUGGGUGAUCUGCCCUCCACUUCGUGAUAAGCUUGGGAAACUGGGUCUAAUACCGGAUAGCAACCAUCUUCAGUGUGUUGGUUGGAAAGUUCUUUCGGUGUAGGAGGAGCUCGUGGCCUAUCAGCUUGUUGGUGGGGUAAUGGCCUACCAAGGCGGCGAGGGGUAGCAGCCAUGCGAGGAUGUACGGCCAGUUCAGACUGGUGAUACAGCCAGCAGUGCGGAGUGUGGCAGAAGGGGGGAAAAUUGAACAAAGCGAGCAAGCGUGAUGGAGCAACGCCGCGUGGGGGAUGAACGCUUUUGUGGUGUAAACACAUUUCGCUAGGGACGAAGCGUUGUUCUGACGGUACCUAAAGAAGAAGCACCGGCUAACUACGUG